rnacentral:rRNA from 1 species
AUUGAACGCUGGCGGCAUGCUUUACACAUGCAAGUCGAACGGUAACAGGCCGCAAGGUGCUGACGAGUGGCGAACGGGUGAGUAAUGCAUCGGAACGUGCCCAGUCGUGGGGGAUAACUACUCGAAAGAGUAGCUAAUACCGCAUACGAUCUAUGGAUGAAAGCGGGGGACCGUAAGGCCUCGCGCGAUUGGAGCGGCCGAUGUCAGAUUAGGUAGUUGGUGGGGUAAAGGCUCACCAAGCCAACGAUCUGUAGCUGGUCUGAGAGGACGACCAGCCACGCUGGAACUGAGACACGGCCCAGACUCCUACGGGAGGCAGCAGUGGGGAAUUUUGGACAAUGGGCGCAAGCCUGAUCCAGCAAUGCCGCGUGCAGGAAGAAGGCCUUCGGGUUGUAAACUGCUUUUGUACGGAACGAAACGGCUCUGGUUAAUACCCGGGGCUAAUGACGGUACCGUAAGAAUAAGCACCGGCUAACUACGUG